GGCUCCGUGGCGCAAUGGAUAGCGCAUUGGACUUCUAGGUAUUAAUCGAAGUGAUUCAAAGGUUGUGGGUUCGAGUCCCACCGGAGUCG
rnacentral:tRNA from 1 species